UUAAAUUGAAGAGUUUGAUCAUGGCUCAGAUUGAACGCUGGCGGCAGGCCUAACACAUGCAAGUCGAACGGUAACAGGAAGCAGCUUGCUGCUUUGCUGACGAGUGGCGGACGGGUGAGUAAUGUCUGGGAAACUGCCUGAUGGAGGGGGAUAACUACUGGAAACGGUGGCUAAUACCGCAUAACGUCGCAAGACCAAAGAGGGGGACCUUCGGGCCUCUUGCCAUCAGAUGUGCCCAGAUGGGAUUAGCUUGUUGGUGAGGUAACGGCUCACCAAGGCGACGAUCCCUAGCUGGUCUGAGAGGAUGACCAGCCACACUGGAACUGAGACACGGCCCAGACUCCUACGGGAGGCAGCAGUGGGGAAUAUUGCACAAUGGGCGCAAGCCUGAUGCAGCCAUGCCGCGUGUAUGAAGAAGGCCUUCGGGUUGUAAAGUACUUUCAGCGGGGAGGAAGGUGUUGUGGUUAAUAACCGCAGCAAUUGACGUUACCCGCAGAAGAAGCACCGGCUAACUCCGUGCCAGCAGCCGCGGUAAUACGGAGGGUGCAAGC
rnacentral:rRNA from 1 species